GCCAGGCGUGGUGGCGCAUGCCUGUAAUCCCAGCUACUCGGGAGGCUGAUGCAGGAGAAUCGCUUGAACCCGGGAGGUGGAGGCUGCAGUGAGCUGAGAUUGUUCCACUGCACUCCAGCCUGGGCAACAGAGCGAGACUCCGCCUCAG
rnacentral:SRP_RNA from 1 species